rnacentral:rRNA from 1 species
CGGGGGGGCAAGCGUUGUUCGGAAUUACUGGGCGUAAAGGGCUCGUAGGCGGCCAACUAAGUCCGACGUGAAAUCCCCAGGCUCAACCUGGGAACUGCGUCGGAUACUGGAUGGCUUGAAUUCGGGAGAGGGAUGCAGAAUUCCAGGUGUAGCGGUGAAAUGCGUAGAUAUCUGGAGGAAUACCGGUGGCGAAGGCGGCAUCCUGGACCGACAUUGACGCUGAGGAGCGAAAGCUAGGGGAGCAAACGGGAUUAGAUACCCCGGUAGUCCUAGCCCUAAACGAUGAAUGCUUGGUGUGACGGGUAUCGAUCCCUGUCGUGCCGAAGCUAACGCAUUAAGCAUUCCGCCUGGGGAGUACGGUCGCAAGGCUG